rnacentral:rRNA from 1 species
CCUACGGGUGGCAGCAGUGGGGGAUAUUGCACAAUGGGGGAAACCCUGAUGCAGCGACGCCGCGUGGGUGAAGAAGCGCCUCGGCGCGUAAAGCCCUGUCAGCAGGGAAGAAAAUGACGGUACCUGAAGAAGAAGCCCCGGCUAACUACGUGCCAGCAGCCGCGGUAAUACGUAGGGGGCAAGCGUUAUCCGGAUUUACUGGGUGUAAAGGGGGCGCAGACGGCGGUGCAAGCCAGGAGUGAAAGCCCGGGGCUCAACCCCGGGACUGCUCUUGAAACUGCGGGGCUGGAGUGCAGGAGGGGUAAGCGGAAUUCGUGGUGUAGCGGUGAAAUGCGUAGAUAUCAGGAGGAACGCCGGUGGCGAAGGCGGCCUGCUGGACUGCAACUGACGUUGAGGCCCGAAAGCGUGGGGAGCAAACAGGAUUAGAUACCCCGGUAGUC